GAUGAACGCUGGCGGCGUGCCUAAUACACGCAAGUCGAGCGAAUGGAUUGAGAGCUUGCUCUUAUGAAGUUAGCGGCGGACGGGUGAGUAACACGUGGGUAACCUGCCCAUAAGACUGGGAUAACUCCGGGAAACCGGGGCUAAUACCGGAUAACAUUUUGGACCGCAUGGUUCGAAAUUGAAAGGCGGCUUCGGCUGACACUUAUGGAUGGACCCGCGUCGCAUUAGCUAGUUGGUGAGGUAACGGCUCACCAAGGCAACGAUGCGUAGCCGACCUGAGAGGGUGAUCGGCCACACUGGGACUGAGACACGGCCCAGACUCCUACGGGAGGCAGCAGUAGGGAAUCUUCCGCAAUGGACGAAAGUCUGACGGAGCAACGCCGCGUGAGUGAUGAAGGCUUUCGGGUCGUAAAACUCUGUUGUUAGGGAAGAACAAGUGCUAGUUGAAUAAGCUGGCACCUUGACGGUACCUAACCAGAAAGCCACGGCUAACUACGUGCCAGCCGCCGCGGUAA
rnacentral:rRNA from 1 species